rnacentral:rRNA from 1 species
UACGUAGGGGGCAAGCGUUGUCCGGAUUCAUUGGGCGUAAAGGGUGCGUAGGCGGGUCUUUAAGUCAGGGGUGAAAUCCUGGAGCUCAACUCCGGAACUGCCUUUGAUACUGAGGAUCUUGAGUUCGGGAGAGGUGAGUGGAACUGCGAGUGUAGAGGUGAAAUUCGUAGAUAUUCGCAAGAACACCAGUGGCGAAGGCGGCUCACUGGCCCGAUACUGACGCUGAGGCACGAAAGCGUGGGGAGCAAACAGG